UACGUAGGGUGCAAGCGUUGUCCGGAAUUACUGGGCGUAAAGCGCGUGUAGGCGGCUCUGCAAGUCGGAUGUGGAAUCCCACGGCUCAACCAUGGAAGUGCAUUCGAAACUGCAGGGCUAGAGUCCUGGAGAGGAAGGUGGAAUGCUUGGUGUAGAGGUGAAAUUCGUAGAUAUCAAGCGGAACACCGGUGGCGAAGGCGGCCUUCUGGACAGUGACUGACGCUGAGACGCGAAAGCGUGGGGAGCAAACAGG
rnacentral:rRNA from 1 species